UUUUUUUGCAUCCGUCCACCUCCGUUUUCAUGCUGUGGUGUUUUUAAAAAAAUAUACAAUUCUUUCUUCUUUUGGUUGAAUUUCACUUGAAGUUAUAUUUUUUUGCAUCCGUUCACCUCUGUUUUCAUGCUGUGAAGAGAACUAGUGGAAUAUUGGUCAAAUGACUUUUUUACUCCUAAACAUAAAAUUACAGUUUUAUCCUAUAUAAUGACUUUUUUGCCUCUAAAUAUAAAAUUACAGUUUUACACAUUGAAGCUUACAACCAUACCAUAUUCAAACACGGCAUCUACACAUUCAAACAUCCAACAACCCCAUUCAUUCAUUCAAACAAACGCAGCAUCUGGUCAAUCUCCAGAGACAGUCUCUCCUCGCAAAGCUUUUCCCACUUUCUGUUGCCAUGUCAUGAAACUGAGAAAAACUUCAUCAAAAAACACGCACAAUAGCGGAUAAGCAAUUCUUUUAUUGUUACCCAAAUUUUAACACCAUUAUAUCAACUCAAUUACAUAGGCUAAGAUUGCAUCAAAGAAUACUAAUGCAGAUUAAAAAUAACACAUGUCAAAUGCGAUCACAUCCACUUUUCAAAAAUAAAAUAUUUGUAUUGAGUAUAGAAUGAUGUUAAUAUACCGCACUGAGAGUGAUGAAACCAAUAGUCAAUGAUAAAUCGUGCACAAACAAUGUAGUGUAUGUUUUGAAUCAUAGCAUCAAUAAAACAAAACCCAAAAACUAGCAAUUUUACCCAAAAGAAAAUUAAGUAAAAAACAAAUUAAAAAAAUCCACAAAUAACACAAAAACCGAAACUAUUAUUCAUUCAAUUAAGGUAACAAAAUAUUAAUUACAAAAGAACCCAACUUUCUAUUUUUAAGCCGAUUUCAUUACUAUCUAAAAAUCGAAUCUCAGCUAAAAGGAAAGUUAAAAAAAAUAAAAUAAUUUUGAAACCUGUUAUUUAGGCCGAAAACGAAGAGCAUUGUGGUACGAUGCGUUUUGUCUUAGUAGAGAUAAAGCCAGCGAGAGAGAGCUUUUAUACUUUGCUUUGAGAUUUUUGUGAUGUUAUUCUUUGGUUUCUGUCUGCGGCUUCCAAUCCCGAAGAAGAAGAAUUGAUGACCAAGUUAAACAAUGUUGUUUUUUGUUGUACAUGAUGAAAUGACAAUUUUAGCCUUAUGACAUCAGUAAAGUUAUAACGGCGUAGAAACAGAAGUGGAUGGGUGCAAGAAAAUAUAAUUUCAGGUGAAAUUCAACCAAGAAGAAUUGAUUUCUGUCUGUAGCUUCCAAUCCCAAAGAAGAAGAAUUGAUGACCAAGUUAAACAAUGUCGUUUUUUGUUGUACAUGAUGAAAUGACAAUUUUAGCCCUAUGACAUCAGCAAAGUUAUAACGGCGUAGAAACGAAAGUGGACGGGUUGGAAUUCACAAAAAAAAAAAAAAAGAAUUGUGUAUUUUUGAAAAAAAUAUAAAAAAACAGGUGGUCGGUAGAUAAUUGUCCAUUAUUCUAUUAUUUAGUCCUUGUGUCGGGUUCUUGGCUAAUUGAGCUGGACUGACUUGCCCAGAGGCUUCACGUGGAAGGGACUGUUAAAAUUAUAAUUGUCACGCAAAUUUCGAGAUGUGUAAACCGUUAUUUGUAUAGUGGGUAGAAAAUCUGCGAGCCACGUGGUAUCACGAUCUUGUUUCCUGUAUUUUGGCUCUUGCCUUUUUCAUGGUGCAUUUACUAAAUUGAAAUUGGAAUAGAUAGAAAC
rnacentral:lncRNA from 1 species